rnacentral:lncRNA from 1 species
UCCUCAGGCUUCAGUCCAGCAGAGAUGCUAUAGCCAUUCUCAGUAGUUCUUUUGGACCUCAGAGUUCAGUAUAUAGUAAGACUAACUGAGCGGUUCAUUUUCUUGCCAAUGAGUCGAGAUGGUCUACUUUGCGUCGUAGAUCUAGUUGUCAUUCUGUCAGUGAACAGAGCUCUCUCCUCAGCUGCAGCCUUUGCCAUCUGUGCCUUCUUCAGCUCUUUCUGCAAGAGUGAAUUCUUGAAUUUUUCAGCAUUCAGCUCUAUCCGCAGCUGCUCUGCGCUCUUCUUUGCAGCAGACAGCAGCACUGAAUGCUUGACAAGCGCCACAGCUG